CCCAGACUCCUACGGGAGGCAGCAGUGGGGAAUAUUGCACAAUGGGGGAAACCCUGAUGCAGCAACGCCGCGUGAGUGAAGAAGUAUUUCGGUAUGUAAAGCUCUAUCAGCAGGGAAGAAGAAAGACGGUACCUGACUAAGAAGCCCCGGCUAACUACGUGCCAGCAGCCGCGGUAAUACGUAGGGGGCAAGCGUUAUCCGGAUUUACUGGGUGUAAAGGGAGCGUAGACGGCGAUACAAGUCUGAAGUGAAAGCCCGGGGCUCAACCCCGGGACUGCUUUGGAAACUGUGUUGCUGGAGUGCUGGAGAGGCAAGCGGAAUUUCUAGUGUAGCGGUGAAAUGCGUAGAUAUUAGGAAGAACACCAGUGGCGAAGGCGGCUUGCUGGACAGUAACUGACGUUGAGGCUCGAAAGCGUGGGGAGCAAACAGGAUUAGAUACCCCUGUAGC
rnacentral:rRNA from 1 species